rnacentral:rRNA from 1 species
GACGAACGCUGGCGGCGUGCUUAACACAUGCAAGUCGAGCGGUAAGGCCCUUUCGGGGGUACGACGAGCGGCGAACGGGUGAGUAACACGUGGGUGACCUGCCCUCAGCUCUGGGAUAAGCCCGGGAAACUGGGUCUAAUACUGGAUAUGACUCCACGGUGCAUGUCGUGGGGUGGAAAGCCUUGUGCGGCUGAGGAUGGGCCCGCGGCCUAUCAGCUUGUUGGUGGGGUGAUGGCCUACCAAGGCGACGACGGGUAGCCGGCCUGAGAGGGCGACCGGCCACACUGGGACUGAGACACGGCCCAGACUCCUACGGGAGGCAGCAGUGGGGAAUCUUGCGCAAUGGGCGAAAGCCUGACGCAGCGACGCCGCGUGAGGGAUGACGGCCU